rnacentral:lncRNA from 1 species
CCGUGGAUACAUCAAAUGAAGGUUGUUCCAUCAUUGUAAAUUAGUGUGUAAAUUUUCCAAAUAUCGAAUGCACAGCAACAAUUCGAGGUGAUCAGGGAAUUUCACGAUCUUGUUACCGCUCUAGUUAUCAGCUCAAAGAUCAACAUCGUGCGGAAAUCCUCACCAAAAAAGAGCCUUAUGUCUUUCCAAGGGUUGAUAGGUA